GACCUACGGUAUAUAGGCACGUGAGUAUAUGGAACUCGGUUUGUUUUGUAUCAGUGCGAGUAGUUUUGUAUCUAAGAUUUGGCGUAUGUAUAUGGAACUUGGUUUGUUUUUGUUACUGGUUCUUCUAGCAGCUCUAUACUACUGUUUGUAGUAUUGUAUAUUUUACAGGUACAGCUAUGGCUUCGUAUACAGGAAAAAUUUCUUUGUAUACGGCGGAUUUGUCGGUGUGCCCGGGGAACGUGUAAUCCUGGGCGUGACAGAUUAAGUUGGUAUCAGAGCUUAGCAUUAGGUCGUUGGGACCUAGAAAAUCUAAGUUUGGCAAACCUUAGGAAGGCAAGACGCGAGAGGCGUAAUUUAUUACGAAAGUCAGUGAUUAAUUGUUCUAACUCCUCCUAGAGUGGGGUGAGUGAUUGAAGGAGUGCCUGUUUUGGACUGAGAAAUUAUGUUGGCUGCAGACGACAUAAUUUUGGAGGAAAAACAGGGGUCGCCUUCUAGACUUUCGUUGAUUGGGUCGAGAGUGUUUGUAUUUUAUCUGACCCCGAUCUGUUCCUUUCAGCCAUGUAUCGUCGCCGAGGUCGACCGUCAUUGCGGGAGCGUGCCCAGUUGACGCAGGAUCGCACGGAGCCUUCCGAGAUGCUAGAGCAGGUAGAGUAGAGUGCCAGAUCGGCAGCAAGUGCACCCCCUGUUGUGGAGCCGAGUGUGCGACCUGAGGCUAGUGCAUCCCCAGACUUGAGUGCACAGUUAGCCGCCCUGACAGAAGUGACGAGGCGGCAGGGGGAGUUAUUGGAAAGGAUGUGCGAGAGGUUAGCUUCGCCCCAGAGUUCAGCACCGAGGGCACCAGAGUCGUCUGUUCCACCUCCGACUACCCCAGUGACAGCGCCAGCUGCAGCAGUACCUCCGCCAGCAGCAGUUCAAGUAGCGCCAGUUGAGCCUGCUAGGGGGCCAGUACAGUUGACAGAGGCCGAGCAGCAGCGGUUGACAGAGAGGUUGGCUUGUUUUCGCUGUUUCGAUCCACCAACCAUUGAUGGCAAUUGCACUGAGACCUGGGAUGUUGAGGGCUGGGUCAGUGCAAUGGAGAAUUUAUUUAAGGACCUGUUCAUUCCUGAGUGGGAGCAGGUAUCUUUGGGAGUCCAUUGCUUGGCAAGUGAUGCACACGCCUGGUGAAGGAGAGUGAAACGAGAGCAAGGACUGGUAGCGUUACAGUUAAGAUGGGAUGAGUUCUUUGGAAUGCUGUUGGGAUGUAUUUUCCCAACAGUGUGAAACAGAAGCUCGAGGAGGAUUUGAAGAGGAUUCAGCAGGGGGAUCGACCAAUGCAGGAGUAUAUUCGGGAGUUUACUCGACUCCUGAACUGUGUGCCGUUUGUGGCCAGGGACGAGACACACAGGGUUUAUCUGUUUGAGCAGGGGCUGAGACCUGAUAUCUUCAGGUUGGUGCGUGCGCAGAGGUCGAGGACCCUCGAUGCGUCUAUAGAGCAGGCCUUAUGGGUGGAGAGAGGCGAGGUGUCGCUACAGGAGAGGACUCAGGCCGUGGGGCAGAGUCGGGACAGGAAGUGCCCAUUUUCAGAUGAUGCUGGACAGUCGAGCAGCAGGCGUCCGCCGAGGCCUCCACGAUCACGCUCUCAUGGUCGUGGGUCUUCGGGGCGUCAGCGUUCCAGGGGAUUCCGUCAGCAGGGACAGACUCAGAAGACACCGCAGUGUGUUAUCUGCGGGGGACCACACUGGCCCCGGCAGUACGAGCAGAGAGAGGGCAGGUGUUAUAGUUGCGGUCAGCCCGGACAUAUGAGGUCAGCUUGUCCUCGUGCAGCAUCACUAGCACCAUCCACUGCAUCAACGCAGCCGACAUCCCAGCAGUCUUUUGAAGCAGCUCCGAGUUUUCGCCAGGAGGACAGAUCGUCUGUGCCGCGUCAGGGCGAGCGACGACAGCAGGCUCUGAGCGGCAGGGUAUAUGCAGCCCAGGUGGAGGACUUUUCAGCAGCUGACCGAGUGGUGGCAGGUAUCAUUUUGAUUUCCGACAUUAGAGCUCGUACACUUUUUGAUACCGGUGCAUCGCAUUUCUUUGUUAGCCGAGCAUUUGCAUUGUUGCAAGGUCUAGAGUUAGGGGCGUUGUCUCAGGCACGAGAGGUGCCGAUCCCUGACCAUGUGUUACAGGUUGCAGAGUGUUGUUGGUCAUAACCGGUGCAGUUGGAUUCGUGGAUCAUGCCCGCAGACCUGUUGGUGUUAGGGCAGCUGCAGGACUUCGACGUCGUGCUCGGUAUAGAUUGGCUUGCGCGGUACUAUCCUACGAUUGAUUGUGGAGCGAGGACUGUGACGUUCCGCGAGCCAGGCCAGAAGGAGUUUACUUUUAGAGACUGCAGGAGUACGCUGUUUGCCACUUGGAUAUCUUCGGCGAGGGCUCGACAGCUAAUGAGUAGAGGAUGUGUUGCCUUUCUGGCGACUGUUGUAGAGGUACCUACGGCGGCGCCGGGACUCGAGAAUAUUCCUGUAGUCCGCGAGUUUCCAGAUGUGUUUUUCCGAGUUGGCGACGAUGCCGCCGGAGAGGGAGGUUGAGUUUGUGAUUGAUGUAGUUCCUAAAACUACACCAAUCUAAAAAGUACCUUAUCGGAUGGCACCGACGGAGCUGAAAGAGCUAAAGGCGCAGCUUCAGGAUCUGAUGGAUAAGGGGUAUGUGAGACCCAGUGUGUCGCCUUGGGGAGCGCCGGUGUUAUUUGUAAAGAAGAAGGAUGAUUCGCUCAGAUUAUGUGUGGAUUACUGAGAGCUGAAUAAGGUGAUCAUCAAGAACAAGUAUCCUUUGCUGCGCAUUGAUGAUCUAUUUGAUCAGCUGCAAGGAUCUUGUGUCUUCUCGAAGAUCGAUCUCUAAUCCGGUUACCACCAGUUGAGGGUGAGGGCCGAGGAUAUUCCCAAGACUGCUUUUCGGACUCGGUACGGGCAUUAUGAGUUUACAGUGAUGCCUUUUGGAUUGACGAAUGCCCCUGCCGCAUUCAUGGAUUUGAUGAACAGAGUGUUCAAGCCGUUCUUGGAUAGAUUUUUAGUAGUUUUCAUCGAUGACAUUCUAAUAUACUCCCGGAGCGAUGCCGAGCACGAGGAGCACUUGAGGACUGUGCUACAGCUUCCGAGAGAGAAGAAGUUGUAUGCCAAGUUAAAGAAGUGCGAGUUAUGGUUGCGGGAGGUUACUUUCUUAGGCCAUGUGAUUUCUACAGAGGGAAUAGCAGUGGACCCGAAAAAGAUUGAUUCUAUUCGGGAUUGGCCUAGACCGACGACGGUGAUAGAGAUGCGAAAUUUUCUGGGACUGGCAGGAUAUUACCGUCGGUUUGUGGAAGGCUUUGCGAAGCUUUCCACACCCCUCACUCGAUUGACGCGAAAGGGGAUUAGAUUCAUCUGGAGUGAGGAUUGUCAGAGGAGCUUUGAUGAGUUGAGACAGAGGUUGACGUCAGCUCCUAUCCUUGCCCUUCCUGUGAUGGGGAAAGGAUUUGUGAUCUACAGUGAUGCAUCGCACAGUGGACUGGGUUGUGUGCUAAUGCAGCAUGGUAGGGUAAUUGCUUAUGCUUCACGGCAGUUAAAGGAUUAUGAGAAGAAUUAUCCUACGUAUGACUUGGAACUUGCUGCGGUAGUCUUUGCGUUAAAGUUGUGGCGGCAUUACUUGUACGGCGAGCACUGCGAGGUUUUUACGGAUCACAAAAGUCUCAAGUAUCUGUUCACACAGAGGGAGCUGAACCUGAGGCAGCGCCGGUGGUUGGAGUUACCGAAGGACUAUGAUAUUAGUAUUCAGUAUCAUCCCGGGAAGACAAAUGUAGUAGCAGAUGCAUUGAGCAGGAAGGCAAUGCAGAGCCUGAGUUUGAUGAUCACUGAGCAGAGGCCGUUACUCGAGGAACUGCAGCUACUGAGGCUCGAGAUAGUGUCCCCUGGAUCUACUGUGAGACUGAUGUCUUUGGUUUUGCAGCCCACUCUGUUGGAUAGGAUCCGAGAGAAACAGAGUGAAGAUCCAUAUUUGUAGAGGAUUCGAGAGCAGCUAGAUCGGGGACAGACUGAGGGCUUUUCUGUGGACAGUUCGGGAGUACUACGAUACAAGGACUGACUGUGUGUGCCUGUGGAUUCAGGGAUCCGAGAGGACAUCUUGAGAGAGGCUCAUUGUUCACCUUAUACGGUUCACCCUGGGGGAACCAACAUGUAUAAGGAUUUAAAGGCACAGUUCUUGUGGAAUGGAAUGAAGAGAGACAUUGACAGAUUUGUGGUUCAGUGUCUUACUUGCCAACAGGUGAAAGCCGAGCACCAGGUACCUGCUGGCAAGCUUCGGAGUCUGCCAGUGCCCCAGUGGAAGUGGGAGCAGAUCACGAUGGACUUCGUUGUGGGAUUGCCGAGAGCACAAGGUGGUUAUGAUGCGAUUUGGGUGAUAGUGGACAGACUGACUAAGUCUGCUCACUUCCUACCGAUUAGACGACCUGGUCUAGAGAGAGACUCGCGCAGCUAUAUCUGGAUGAGAUUGUUAGGCUGCAUGGCGUGCCGAUUUCGAUCGUAUCUGAUAGAGAUCCGAGGUUUGUAUCACACUUCUGGAGGAGUUUGCAGACAGCCUUAGGUACACAGUUGCAGUUCAGCACGGCGUUUCACCCACAGACAGAUGGUCAGUCAGAGCAGACCAUUCAGACUCUAGAGGACAUGCUUAGAGCUUGUGUCCUGGAUUUUAGAGGAGGGUGGUAUCGACAUUUGAGAUUGGUUGACUUUGCGUACAACAACAGCUACCAAGCGAGCAUCCGGAUGAUUCCGUUUGAAGCGUUGUAUGGACGCAGAUGUCGAUCCCCUUUGUGUUGGAGUGAUGUGGGUGAAAGGAAGACGCUUGGGCCUGAGAUUUUGCUUAAGGCUGAGGAAAAUGUGAGAGUUGUUCGACGACACCUUUUGACAGCCCAGAGCCGCCAGAGGAGCUACGCCGAUACCCGGAGACGAGACUUGGAGUUUCAGGUUGGAGAUCAUGUAUUCCUCAAAGUCUCGCCGUCUAGAGGGAUUCGCCGAUUUGGAGUACGUGGAAAGCUCAGUCCACGUUUCGUUGGCCCUUUCGAGGUAUUGGAGCGAGUAGGACCAGUUGCAUAUAGGAUCGCUCUACCCCCGCGACUAGCUGGCAUUCACGAUGUCUUCCACGUCUAAGCAUUGAGGAGAUAUAUUUUCGAUCCUUCUCACGUGAUCAACUUCACUCCACUAGAGAUUGGCGAGGAUCUGAGAUACGAGGAGUGACCGUUGCGGAUUCUUACUCGGGAGACGAAAGAAUUACGCAAUCGGGUCAUCCUGUAUGUAAAGGUGCAGUGGAGUAAUCACGAGGGGCAGAAGGCGACUUGGGAGCCUGAGACGGUGAUGAGGGAGUCCUAUCCCAACCUGUUCGAUGAUUCGAGUUGAGGUUUGUUUUAAAUUUUGAGGACGAAAUUUUUUGUAGUGGAGGAGAAUAUGAGAUGCCUGGUGUUUGGCAGUUGAGGCUUGUCGACAGCUCUGGAGAGUGUCGGGACAAGUCUGAGCCGCGUUGGCGUGAAAUAGACGCAAAACGGACUCUGUACGACAUGAGAGCAGCAAUUGGCAAGGAAAUCUGCAAAUAGCAGGUUUCUCUACUUGCUGUACUGGUACAGCAAGCAUGGUGUACCGGUACAUUGCACUGGGCUGCGCACAGACUGCUCUCGGGUUGGCAUCUGGUACCGGUACACGGGCCCGUGUACCGGUACACCAGGGUAGGUAAGGGGGUAAUUUGGUAAUUAUCUUGCCUUGAUUGUAUCACCAUCUCUCUCUCUCCCUAUAUAGGAUCGAGAGGACAGAGAGGAGAGGAUGUUUGCACUCUCUCUCUGUUCUUCUUGUACUUGACCGAUUGAGGAGGAGCUCGGGUGGAGUUCAAGUUUCGCCGACGUCGCGCCGCGGGGCCUUUCGGGCGUGUCUUCGUUGUUGUAGCGCUGCGAGGAGGCCGGGCGAGCGUGGAUUUUCGCUGUUCUCGACGUCGCGCCAGAGUUCGGAUAGAGGUUGAGGUCAGGUGUUCAUCAAAUUCCUUAAACCGUUGCAAGUCCUUACUACUUCAAGCUCAAGGUUGCUGUUUUUGCAGAAUUUCCGCAUCGACCGUCGGUAUUUCGGCUCAUACGCGACGUAGGAGUGUCGGAUUACGACGAAACUUGGUUCGUUAGAUUCAAGACUGCGAGAGGAAUCCACGAAGCCCAAGAUUGCUGAAUUUAGUAAAGGUUAGCUUGAUCUAACUCCUAUUUUACUCUGCUAUUGUUGUAUUUGGACAGAAUUAAUGGAUUUCGAUGUGUAGAGGUUGGAGAUAGCUCGAUUUCUGGACUUGGAGGGUUUCAGUAGAUCUUGUAGGGAUUAUUAUUGGUUCGAGACUCCUUUCGCUGCCAAGAGUUAGUAUUUGAGGUGGGUUAAUCAUUGGUUUGUCUUCUAAGUAUAGAAAUAAGGCGGCAUGUGUAGUUUUAGCUUGUUGCAUAUCCAGUUUGCUCAAUUCAUGGAUUUUGGACAUAUAUAUAUGUAGAAUCUGAUUUUGGAGCUUAAUAUUGUGACUAGAUAUUGACACAUGUUGGACUUGGAUUUGACUUAGGAGAAAACCGCGAAUAUAAUCUGUCAUAUGCUUAAACUACCUAAUUUAGUCUAGGAGCCGUUGUAAUUUUGUAUCAUCGCAGUAUUGAUGUGACAGAUACCCCAGGUAGUUUAGAGUUCAGUUACGCUCAUGCUGGGAUGCCUAGCGUAUUUUUACAGUAGCAUUCAGACUGUUCGAGAAUGUUGGGUGCCGUCGGGGUUGACGGUGGACCCAUAUCGCCAUUUUGGCGUCGGAUUGUGCCGAAGGCACGUGACUUGUUUGUUGUCAGACCAGUUAGAGUCGGUUACUUGACUUUGGCUUGUGAGAGUCUGAUUGAGCUCGACAGAGAUACGCUGCAUACUCGGUUGGAUAGCUCCCACGAGUGCCACUCCGGAGACGGGCGCUGUGCUUUCGCGUUGGUGUCGUUUAUUGCCGGUUGGACUUGCUCUCCACGGACUGGAUAGUGUGGAGGUAGCUGGAUUGUCCAAACUGGGCGAGACAGGUGUAUUCACAGUCCCUGGGACGGGUAUGUUUACAUUCCCUAAAGAGAUUGGGUCAGGAUUGACAUUUCUACAGUAGGUUAGUUUAGAGCUUGAUAGUGUAAUAACUCAUAGCUGUAGAUUUUAUUCCAGCAUUUAUUACUAUCUUUACUCCCUUCUGUAGACUUAGUGGGUGGACCGAUGAUGUUGAGAGUGGCACCCACUGAGGACUACUUGUUUUUACAGUAGUUCUCACGCCCUGUUGUUACCCCGUUUUUGUAGAGCCAUCGUCUUCGGCUGCUGCUGUUGCUGAUCAGGAUCGAGGCAAGGGCGUCGCGAGUUAGAGCCCUAUCAGACUAGCCGAGCUAGAGGUAUAGUUUUGUUGGAGUUCAUGUACAUACAGACGUGUAACUCGCCAGUGCGAGUAGUUUUGUAUCUGAGAUUUGGCGUAUGUAUAUGGAACUCAGUUUGUUUUUGUUACUGGUUCUUCUAGCAGCUCUAUACUACUGUUUGUAGUAUUGUAUAUUUUACAGGUACAGCUAUCGUUUCGUAUACAGAAAAAAUUUCUUUGUAUACGGUGGAUUUGUCGGUGUGCCCGGGGAACGUGUAAUCCGGGGCAUGACAACCGAUAU
rnacentral:lncRNA from 1 species